UUCCGGCUGCGCACUUCCGCUUCUGGUUCUCAGCGUCAACUUUCUGUCCCUGUCCUGCGUUCGAGGAGGUUGUUGGUUAGGCUGCUUCCAGGCUAAUUGAGGACCAGACAGAAUGAUCGAGGUUGUCUGUAACGACCGACUGGGGAAGAAGGUCCGCGUUAAGUGCAACACGGAUGACACCAUCGGGGACCUUAAGAAGCUGAUCGCAGCCCAAACUGGCACCCGCUGGAAUAAGAUUGUUUUGAAGAAAUGGUACACGAUUUUCAAGGACCACGUGUCUCUGGGGGACUAUGAAAUCCAUGAUGGGAUGAACCUGGAGCUUUAUUACCAAUAGAACAGAAUCCUUCCCUUUCUCUCCUGCUCACCCUCAUUGGUAUGGAUGCUUGUUUCUAAAAACACAUGUUAAUAAAAACUCAGAAACUGC